ACGUAGGGGGCAAGCGUUGUCCGGAAUUAUUGGGCGUAAAGGGCGCGUAGGCGGAUGUUUAAGUCCGGUGUGAAAGAUCAGGGCUCAACCCUGAGAGUGCAUCGGAAACUGGGCAUCUUGAGGACAGGAGAGGAAAGUGGAAUUCCUAGUGUAGCGGUGAAAUGCGUAGAUAUUAGGAGGAACACCAGUGGCGAAGGCGACUUUCUGGACUGUAACUGACGCUGAGGCGCGAAAGCGUGGGGAGCAAACAGGAUUAGAUACCCUGGUAGUCCACGCUGUAAACGAUGAGUGCUAGGUGUAGAGGGUAUCGACCCCUUCUGUGCCGCAGUUAACACAAUAAGCACUCCGCCUGGGGAGUACGGCCGCAAGGUUG
rnacentral:rRNA from 1 species